GAUGAACGCUAGCGGCAGGCUUAAUACAUGCAAGUCGAACGGUAAUCCCGACAGCAAUGUCGGGACAAGAGUGACGUACGGGUGCGUAACACGUAUGCAACCUACCUUGUACAGGAGGAUAGCUCGGGGAAACCCGGAUUAACCCUCCAUGAGAUCCCGAAACGGCAUCGUUUCGGGAUUAAAACUCCGGUGGUACAAGAUGGGCAUGCGUCUGAUUAGUUAGUUGGCGGGUAACGG
rnacentral:rRNA from 1 species